AGUGAACGCUGGCGGUAGGCCUAACACAUGCAAGUCGAACGGCAGCACAGUAAGAGCUUGCUCUUACGGGUGGCGAGUGGCGGACGGGUGAGGAAUACAUCGGAAUCUACUUUUUCGUGGGGGAUAACGUAGGGAAACUUACGCUAAUACCGCAUACGACCUACGGGUGAAAGCAGGGGAUCUUCGGACCUUGCGCGAUUGAAUGAGCCGAUGUCGGAUUAGCUAGUUGGCGGGGUAAAGGCCCACCAAGGCGACGAUCCGUAGCUGGUCCGAGAGGAUGAUCAGCCACACUGGAACUGAGACACGGUCCAGACUCCUACAGGAGGCAGCAGUGGGGAAUAUUGGACAAUGGGCGCAAGCCUGAUCCAGCCAUACCGCGUGGGUGAAGAAGGCCUUCGGGUUGUAAAGCCCUUUUGUUGGGAAAGAAAAGCAGCAGGUUAAUACCCCGCUGUUCUGACGGUACCCAAAGAAUAAGCACCGGCUAACUUCGUG
rnacentral:rRNA from 1 species